AGCGGCGGCUGAUCCGGCGCAAUUCGGGCCUGCGCCGCCUGGCGACAAGUGCCUGGGCGACCGAGGAGCAGUUCGACCUGUUCCGGCGCUA
rnacentral:tRNA from 1 species